GACGAACGCUGGCGGCGUGCCUAAUACAUGCAAGUCGAGCGAGCGGAACCAACAGAUUUACUUCGGUAAUGACGUUGGGAAAGCGAGCGGCGGAUGGGUGAGUAACACGUGGGGAACCUGCCCCUAAGUCUGGGAUACCAUUUGGAAACAGGUGCUAAUACCAGAUAAUAAAGCAGAUCGCAUGAUCAGCUUUUGAAAGGCGGCGUAAGCUGUCGCUAAGGGAUGGCCCCGCGGUGCAUUAGCUAGUUGGUAAGGUAACGGCUUACCAAGGCGACGAUGCAUAGCCGAGUUGAGAGACUGAUCGGCCACAUUGGGACUGAGACACGGCCCAAAACUCCUACGGGAGGCAGCAGUAGGGAAUCUUCCACAAUGGACGCAAGUCUGAUGGAGCAACGCGCGUGAGUGAAGAAGUUUUCGGAUCGUAAAGCUACUGUUGUUGGUGAAGAAGGAUAGAGGUAGUAACUGGCCUUUAUUGACGGUAAUCAACCAGAAAGUCACGG
rnacentral:rRNA from 1 species